UGCUUGAUUCUUCUUUUUUUUUUUUUUGCUUAUAAAUGUACAUCCCACUUGUAGCCUAGCAACAAAAGCAGCAGCCUGGGUGAGACGAGCCUGCUGCUGGGGCUCUCUCCUCAAAACAGGAGCCAUCUUUGGCGUGUAACUUGACCAGAGAUUUCAUCAUUCUGCAUUAAAGCCAGCUCCAGAUGUUAGAGGUCCCUGCAGCCAGCUCAGCUCUGCCAGCUUUGCUUUGCCACCUCCUCUCCCACUGCACGAGGCACGUCCACAGACGCCGCACGUGUUCGCCUCAUCUCCACAUUCAGGAAAAUAAACCUCCUUUGCUAACCAAGGUGAUAUGUUAACUGCACAUUGGUACAAAGGCAAUCUUCACCCUGCCCACCAGUAUAAUAACAAUGGAUUAUUUAUAAUUCAAUAAAUUAAAAAAAACUAUUAAUACUCAUA